UAUUUUUAAAAAUACCUAAAUCGUUGAUGCUUAUAGGUCUUCGACUCUUGGAUUAAGGGGUUGUUUGAUUACAUAUAGUUGCAACUACACUGCAGUUGUAACUGCAUGUAAAUGUAAAUUUCGUGUUUGGUUUGAUGUGUUUAACUCCAACUGCUGUAGUAGGAACUACAGGAGGAGGCCCAACUGUAGCAGUUCGAAUUACGCUCAAAUUUGCCGCAAUUCCAACUACAGCAGUUGAAAAGAGUAACUUAAAAUAAAAAAUAUGCUUACCUCUUCAAUAUUUUUUAAAUAAAAAUUAUUUUUCUUUUUUACAUUGGAGGUAAUCUCACCAUCAUAUAUAUAUAAAAUAAUAAAAUUUUACAAAUUAUUUCUCAACUACAUGCAACCAAACAAAUUAUUUAUACUUGCAGCGCUUUUUACUACAUCCAACCAAACAUGAUUCAUGUAGUUGUAAUUACUGUAUUUCCAACUGCAUACAUCUUUAACUACACUGUAUUUAUAAUUACAUCUAACCAAGCGGUCCCAAGCGGUCCCUAAGAGAUGUGCGGCUAGGAUAAUAGUGAUCCCCUAAAGUUGAGUGGAUGGUUGAUUGAAUGGUAUGAUUUAAGAGAUGAAACUAGUCAAAGGGAUAGUUCUAACGGCCGAAAACUUACAAGCUAGUACUUUUACAAGCACUAAGUGCUUAGUGCUUUUACCGACCGUCCCUAGAGCAAGUGGCAAAGGGUUUGGUGGUUGGUAUCCGAGAUCCAAAUUCGAAUCCUAGUUGAUUCACAUUUCCAGCUAAGUUUAUUUUCUAAAAUGAAAUAAACGAAGCGGGUAGCGUGCUACCUAUCUCUCUCAAAAAAAAAAAAAGUGCUUAGUGCUUUUACAAGCACUAUAGUUAGACUCUCUCUCUCUCUCUCUCUAUAU
rnacentral:lncRNA from 1 species